GUUUAUAACAACUGGAAAUAAGUGGGAAUGGCUACUAGAAUGUGCAGGUUAUAGACAAAGCAUGCUGGUAAAUAUCCUGAAGUACAGAAGAACAGCCCACAGCAAAGAGUUAUUCUACUAAAAAUGUCACUAGCUGAGAUCAGCAAUUGAAACCCAGAGAGGAGAAGGAAGUUCUCCAAGGUCACACAGCACAAAAAGAUAACAUAAGGUCUUAAAGGUAGGGUCUUGUAAUGCUCAAGUGUCUUCAAAUUUUCAAGUAUGCACACAAUUGAACACCGUGAAUAAUACCAAUCAUCAUAAUUAA